GACGAACGCUGGCGGCGUGCUUAACACAUGCAAGUCGAACGGAAAGGCCCUGCUUUUGUGGGGUGCUCGAGUGGCGAACGGGUGAGUAACACGUGAGUAACCUGCCCUUGACUUUGGGAUAACUUCAGGAAACUGGGGCUAAUACCGGAUAGGAGCUCCUGCUGCAUGGUGGGGGUUGGAAAGUUUCGGCGGUUGGGGAUGGACUCGCGGCUUAUCAGCUUGUUGGUGGGGUAGUGGCUUACCAAGGCUUUGACGGGUAGCCGGCCUGGGAGGGUGACCGGCCACAGUGGGACUGGGAUACGGCCCAGACUCCUACGGGAGGCAGCAGUGGGGAAUAGUGCACAAUGGGCAGAAGCCUGAUGCAGCAACGCCGCGUGCGGGAUGACGGCCUUCGGGUUGUAAACCGCUUUCGCCUGUGACGAAGCGUGAGUGACGGUAAUGGGUAAAGAAGCACCGGCUAACUACGUG
rnacentral:rRNA from 1 species